AUUGAACGCUGGCGGCAUGCUUUACACAUGCAAGUCGAACGGUAGCAGGCCGCAAGGUGCUGACGAGUGGCGAACGGGUGAGUAAUGCAUCGGAACGUGCCCAGUCGUGGGGGAUAACUACUCGAAAGAGUAGCUAAUACCGCAUACGAUCUAUGGAUGAAAGCGGGGGACCGUAAGGCCUCGCGCGAUUGGAGCGGCCGAUGUCAGAUUAGGUAGUUGGUGGGGUAAGGGCUCACCAAGCCAACGAUCUGUAGCUGGUCUGAGAGGACGACCAGCCACACUGGGACUGAGACACGGCCCAGACUCCUACGGGAGGCAGCAGUGGGGAAUUUUGGACAAUGGGCGCAAGCCUGAUCCAGCAAUGCCGCGUGCAGGAAGAAGGCCUUCGGGUUGUAAACUGCUUUUGUACGGAACGAAACGGCUCUGGUUAAUACCCGGGGCUAAUGACGGUACCGUAAGAAUAAGCACCGGCUAACUACGU
rnacentral:rRNA from 1 species